UGAUUAUUUAAUUAAUUAAAUUUUUUCAAUUAAUUAAAAUCAAAUUAUUUUUCAAAUUGAACUUUUGAAUUUGAUUAAUUUGAAAUUAGAUCAAUUAAAAAUUGAAAAACAAUUUUGAUAAUGGAGAUUUCCAAGAUUUUGAAUGCUUGGUGGAUUCAACACAAUUUAGACACCUAGACCACUCCUUAAUGCUCUUUGAUGUGUCAAUGAGUUCAAUCUCUUAGUAUUUGCAUGUAUUUGAUACAUAAAAGCUCAAUUUUGGUGAUUAAGACUGAGGUUGCAUGCUGAACUUAAUGGAGAUUCUACUCUCUUGGUUUUUAUUUGACUACUCUCCAAACCCUCCUCUUUCCUUACUCAAUUCCCAUCAAUUUUGAGUUCUACCACUCAAAUCCAAGUUGGAAAAUAGUAGAGAAGACUCUCUUGGUGGUUCAUUAUUGAUUUGAAGCCCAAUUCGUAGAGAAGAGCAAGGAUCAAGAGGAUUUCUUCAAAGGUAAAGGAAAGGAUAGAACGACAAAUGACAAGAAGAAUCUAUGACCGGGCCUUGGGAUUUGACAACGCUUCCGCAUAUGUUUUUCUUAUAUUUGCGAGUUUUAGUUUUGUAAUUAAACCUUCAAAUUCUUGUAAUAUUUCAUUUGGCUUUUUUCUAUUUAGUUUAUUUUUAGUUAAAGUUAUAGGUGCCCCGAACAACGAUUUUAUGUUCUUUUUAUAGGUUUAUACGAUAAAAAUUUAUUUCAUUCUUUUGAA